rnacentral:rRNA from 1 species
GACGAACGCUGGCGGCGUGCUUAACACAUGCAAGUCGAACGGAAAGGCCCCCUUGUGGGGUACUCGAGUGGCGAACGGGUGAGUAACACGUGAGUAACCUACCCUUGACUUUGGGAUAACUUCAGGAAACUGGGGCUAAUACCGGAUAGGAGCUCCUGCUGCAUGGUGGGGGUUGGAAAGUUUCGGCGGUUGGGGAUGGACUCGCGGCUUAUCAGCUUGUUGGUGGGGUAGUGGCUCACCAAGGCUUUGACGGGUAGCCGGCCUGAGAGGGUGACCGGCCACAUUGGGACUGAGAUACGGCCCAGACUCCUACGGGAGGCAGCAGUGGGGAAUAUUGCACAAUGGGCGGAAGCCUGAUGCAGCAGCGCCGCGUGCGGGAUGACGGCCUUCGGGUUGUAAACCGCUUUCGCCUGUGACGAAGCGUGAGUGACGGUAAUGGGUAAAGAAGCACCGGCUAACUACGUG